rnacentral:rRNA from 1 species
AGACGAAGGGGGCGAGCGUUAUCCGGAAUGACUGGGCGUAAAGGGUCCGUAGGCAGCAUUUUUUGUUAGAGGUUAAAUAAAAAAGCUUAACUUUUUUCCGCUUCUAAAACGUAAAUGCUUUGAGUUUGAUAGGAGAUAGCAGAAUUUCACAUGGAGGGGUGAUAUCCGUAGAUAUGUGAAGGAAUACCAGAGGCGAAGGCGGCUAUCUAGAUCAAUACUGACGUUGAGGGACGAAAGCAUGGGGAGCAAACAGGAUUAGAUACCCUGGUAGUCCAUGCCCUAAAAGAUGAGUGCUCGUGCUUAGAGAUUUUUAGGCACUUAGUUAACACGUUAAGCACUCCGCCUGGGGAGUACGACCGCAAGGUUGGAACUCAAAGGAAUUGACGGGGGCCUAUACAAGUGGUGGAGCAUGUGGUUUAAUGCGACAAUACGCGCGAAACCUUACCAGUUCUUGACAUAAAAAAGAAAAAGUUUGAAAGGACAAUUUUGAAGAUUUUUACAGGUGCUGCAUGGCUGUCGUCAGCUCGUGUCGUGAGAUGUUAGGUUAACUCCUUUUAACGGGCGAAACCCCUUUUUUUAGUUGCCACUUAAAUUUAGUUUUAAAGCACUCUAGAAAGACUGCUCCCUUUUUUUAAUUUGGAGGGGAAGGUGGGGAUGACGUCAAGUCCUUAUGGCCCUUAUGAACUGGGCUACACACGUGCUACAAUGGUAAAGACAAUAAGAAGCAAUAGGGCAACCUGGAGCCAAUCUUUAAACUUUACCAAAGUUCGGAUUGUGGACUGCAACUCGUCCACAUGAAGGUGGAAUCACUAGUAAUCGCACAUCAGCAUGUUGCGGUGAAUUUGUACCUAG